AGUGAACGCUGGCGGUAGGCCUAACACAUGCAAGUCGAACGGCAGCACAGUAAGAGCUUGCUCUUACGGGUGGCGAGUGGCGGACGGGUGAGGAAUACAUCGGAAUCUACUUUUUCGUGGGGGAUAACGUAGGGAAACUUACGCUAAUACCGCAUACGACCUACGGGUGAAAGCAGGGGAUCUUCGGACCUUGCGCGAUUGAAUGAGCCGAUGUCGGAUUAGCUAGUUGGCGGGGUAAAGGCCCACCAAGGCGACGAUCCGUAGCUGGUCUGAGAGGAUGAUCAGCCACACUGGAACUGGGACACGGUCCAGACUCCUACGGGAGGCAGCAGUGGGGAAUAUUGGACAAUGGGCGCAAGCCUGAUCCAGCCAUACCGCGUGGGUGAAGAAGGCCUUCGGGUUGUAAAGCCCUUUUGUUGGGAAAGAAAAGCAGCAGGUUAAUACCCCGCUGUUCUGACGGUACCCAAAGUAUAAGCACCGGCUAACUUCGUG
rnacentral:rRNA from 1 species